UUGCAUAAUGGUGGUAUUAAUAGAUAAUUAAAAUUUAAUUUUCCCGAAAAUAAAAGAUCUAGCUAUAAUUAUAAUAUAUUAGAAUUACUUAUAUUUACUGUUGCAUAAUUAUGUUUAAAUAAAUAGCUAGUUGUGAAACGCAUACAAUUUUAUUGAUAUCUGGAUUUAAAGUAAAUAUAUUUAGUAUACAAGACAGUCUUAAAUUGAUAAGGAUUUAAAAACAGUGAAUAAUUUAUCAUCUAUUUUGUAUUAUUUAGUAAUACUAUUUAAUAGACAUAAUAAUAAAGUAUAAAUUUAAGAAAAGAAUCACGUAAUUUAACUUAAUACCCAGUUCUAAACUAAAAAUUUUGUUGAUAAUGUAUCAAUUAGUAGUUAACUAGAAAAUAUAAACAAGGAACUCGACAAAUUUAUUUAUACGACUGUUUAACAAAAACAUAACCUAAAGUAUAUUUUUAAGGUGACGUCUGCCCAGUGAUUUAAUUUUAACGGCCGCAGUACUUUGACUGUGCAAAGGUAGCAUAAUAACUUGGCUUUUAAUUGGAGUCUGGAAUGAGAGAAAAUACGUAUAAAAAUUGUCUCGUUUAAUACUAAAAUGAAAUUAUUUUAAGAAGUGAAAAUACUUCUGAAUAAAACAAAAGACGAGAAGACCCUUAGAAUUUUUUCUACAAAUAUAGUUAUAUAUUUAAAGUUUUAGUUGGGGCAACUCUAUUUCAAAAUAAAUAAAUAGUAAAAAUAAAAUUUAUACCGAUUUUAUAUAAAAAAAUAAAUUACCUAAGGGAUAACAGCAUAAUUUUAUCAAUUAAGAUUAUGACCUCGAUGUUGGACUAGGUGUUGUUAAAGCUAAACGUUUUUGCAUAUAUUGUUCUGUUCGAACUUAAUUACCUACAUGAUCUGAGUUCAGACCGGCGUAAGCCAGGUCAGUUUCUAUCUUUUUUAUAGUAUAAAUUAGUA
rnacentral:rRNA from 1 species